rnacentral:lncRNA from 10 species
AGAGGGAUUGGCAGGGGGCAGUUUUGCCAUCAGAGUGGAGGUGAGGGGUCUGUUGUGGUGGCAGUCAGCAGCUGCCUGAGGAUCUGGGAGAGACCUAGCAGGCAGUGAGGACAGUGGAUGGCAAGGGGCCUCAGAGCUCUGUGACCUCAUAAUUUUCCUGUGGGACCACAAAGGUGGCUUCCACAGUGCAUAGUGGUUAUCAGCUGUGCCUCCCUCUUAGAGGUCCUCGGAGUCCAGAGUCCUCGAAGGGAAAUCUGACACAAAGAAGCAGGUGUGAGACCGGCCCCUUUCUCCCAUGCCUUAGACAGGGCUCCAGGGACUGCUUCAGGGGAGAUGUCAGAGGGCAGCAGGGACCGGGAAGGGAGGAAGAAAGCAGAGUGACAGUGAGAGGUGGGAAAACUACAAGAGGAAUUGUUUGUACGCUUGGAUCUGGACUUUUAGAACUGGUCAGGACCUGACAGAUCCUCCAGCCCAGUUCUCCCGGCUCUCAAACACUGGCAUCAUUUAUAAUUCCCUGGAAAAUCACCAGCAGGUAAAUGAAGGAGAAAAGAAAAGAACAAAAUCCACCGGGAACCAGAGACUUCCAGGCUCCAAAGACAGGCAAUCUCCACCAGGAAAUGCUUUCCUGGCUGAAAACCAUGAAUGACCCAGAAUAGUUCAUAUCUUUGGAAGAUCCUUAUUUUCCUUGUAAAUGAAAGUCAUGCAUUUGGAAUAAUAACAUGAAAUGAUGUGAAUGGUAGGGACUCAAAAACUUUCUCUUCCAAAAAUAUUCUACAGAUUCAUGCUCAGGAAAGCCAAAUGCUCUACAAUAGGAUGAAGUGGCUCCAGGAGAGUUCUGUUUACUACUUUAAUAAGUGACUAAAUAUAUGGUAUUUACGCAUAUGAAAUUGGCUUAACUAGGACAUCUCAUUUCCUAGCCUUUGCAUAUAAAAGAGAAUUGACAGUAAUUCAGGUUAACUCAAAAUGUAUCAUUUAAUUGUCUUUGUCCCACAUGACUAGUAAGUAGGUCACUAGCCACUUUUUUUUUUUUUGAGACAGAGUCUUGCUGUGUUGCCCAGGCUGGAGUGCAGUGGCAUGAUCUUGGCUCACUGCAACUUCCAACUCCUAGAUUCAAGCGAUUCUUCUGCCUCAGCCUCCUGAGUAGCUGGGUUUACAGUCAUGCGCCACCAUGCCAGGCUAAUUUUUUGUAUUUUUAGGAGAGACAGGGUUUCGCCAUGUUUGGCAGGCUAGUCUCGAACCCCUGACCUCAGAGAUCCACCCAUCUCAGCCUCCAGAAGUGCUGGGAUUACAGGCAUGAGCCACCGCGCCCGGCCACCAGCCACUUCUAACCCUACUCUCUCUCGGAAGUUUUGAGUUGUAUGCACACUCAGACCUCUUUGCUUUCCCAGUGUAUCAGUUUUGACCUAAUCCUUUUUCUAUGUAUUUAACUCUUGCUAUAGUUCCUUUGGAUCGUAUAGUAAGAUUGCCAAGUGAAAAACUCCUGAUGUGUGUUCAAGUCAUAGACUCCAUUUCUAAAUCUCCAAAUUCAUAUGUUUCAUUUCUUAUCACCUUCUCCUUCCUCCUUCUGUCUCUACUUCUGUUAUUCUGUUCCUGCUUAUCCCAUUGGUCCUGUCUUAAGUUAUCCCUUGGAUUAAAAAUAAUAAUAAUAAAACUUUUUAUUAUAGAAAAUCUCAAAUAUGUACCAAAGCCUUUAAUCAUGUAA